rnacentral:lncRNA from 1 species
CCAAAGAGCUCACGAAAGGAAAUGUGACAGAGACAGGGAGAAAGGGAAAACACUGGGAGAGAAAAGAUGGAAGGAAAAAACGGAAAAGGGUUUCCCAUUUUGUUCUUUUCCAACCUGGCAAAAUGCACCAUUAUACCCUGGGGAGGGACAUGGACUCUGAUAAAGAAUCUCUUACGGCCAAAGAUGUUUUAAAUGAACCCUUGCCGUGUGCAAAAUCACAUGCUGAAAAGGACAGAAACUCCAAGCACUCAUUUCAUCAACUCAAUACAUUCAUUACUCCUUAUUUUCACAAGUGGUGCGUUUGGAAUAGUAAAUCUUAAUCGUUUCAUUACUUUCAAUUACACCUGACAUUGUUUUUUGAGUGUAGGCAAAAUGGUUACUGUCUGCUAAAAUCUGAGGAAACGAAAGGGAAAAAUAUGUUAUUCGAUCAAAUUUAUCAUCUCCCCUAUUUCCUCUCCAUCCUGACGAGAUUAUAAAUAUUUAUCCUGGGUGAAUGUUGGAUAAGUAGAGCACGGGGAUGGGGCAGGUCUUCAAUUCAGACAUACUUUAGCAGAUCAGAAAUAGAGGCUUAGGUAUAUGAAAGAGCAUUUUCUUUGGUUGCUGUUAUUCUUGAGUUAAACCUUAGGAAUGUAUGUAUCACCACAGAAUUCUGGACAGACAGGCUGCUUUCUCUGUCAGAUGGUAGGUUCUCAUGUUCACUUGUUCCUUGCAGAUUGGAGGAGAGAACAGUUCCAGAAUGAAGGACUUCAGGAAAAAUAUGGUAAAGCCUCUUUUAUACCCCUUCACCCCCCCAAACACUGUAGAACACCUGCGUUCGUGGUGUUGUAAAGAUAUCCCAGCUUUUAACCAACGUGUCACCACUGGCUUGCCCUCUCCCAGAUCUCUGCUAUUCCAGCACAAUAUUGCAGUUAGGGACUCUCCCAUAUUCCUCCCUUCUCUGCUCUUGCAAAGCCUGUAUGUUCCAAUAUAG